rnacentral:lncRNA from 1 species
ACUCGCGUCGCGGCCGCGGAGACUAGAAGGAGGACUCCGGAUCCGGCUCGGCGCUCGCCCUCGCUCGCCAUGGAGAAGACCGAGCUGAUCCAGAAGGCCAAGCUGGCCGAGCAGGCCGAGCGCUACGACGACAUGGCCACCUGCAUGAAAGCCGUGACGGAGCAGGGCGCCGAGCUGUCCAACGAGGAGCGCAACCUGCUAUCUGUGGCCUACAAGAACGUGGUCGGGGGCCGCAGGUCCGCCUGGAGGGUCUUCUAUCUGAAAAUGAAGGGAGAUUAUUUCCGGUAUCUUGCUGAAGUCGCUUGUGGUGAUGAUCGAAAACAAACGAUAGAAAAUUCCCAAGGAGCCUACCAAG